rnacentral:rRNA from 1 species
CUCCUACUGGAGGCAGCAGUGAGGAAUAUUGGUCAAUGGACGAGAGUCUGAACCAGCCAAGUAGCGUGAAGGAUGACUGCCCUAUGGGUUGUAAACUUCUUUUAUAUGGGAAUAAAGUUUUUCACGUGUGGAAUUUUGUAUGUACCAUAUGAAUAAGGAUCGGCUAACUCCGUGCCAGCAGCCGCGGUAAUACGGAGGAUCCGAGCGUUAUCCGGAUUUAUUGGGUUUAAAGGGAGCGUAGGUGGACAGUUAAGUCAGUUGUGAAAGUUUGCGGCUCAACCGUAAAAUUGCAGUUGAUACUGGCUGUCUUGAGUACAGUAGAGGUGGGCGGAAUUCGUGGUGUAGCGGUGAAAUGCUUAGAUAUCACGAAGAAUUCCGAUUGCGAAGGCAGCUCACUGGACUGCAACUGACACUGAUGCUCGAAAGUGUGGGUAUCAAACAGGAUUAGAUACCCUGGUAGUCCACACAGUAAACGAUGAAUACUCGCUGUUUGCGAUAUACAGUAAGCGGCCAAGCGAAAGCAUUAAGUAUUCCACCUGGGGAGUACGCCGGCAACGGUGAAACUCAAAGGAAUUGACGGGGGCCCGCACAAGCGGAGGAACAUGUGGUUUAAUUCGAUGAUACGCGAGGAACCUUACCCGGGCUUAAAUUGCAAAUGAAUUACGGUGAAAGCCGUAAGCCGCAAGGCAUCUGUGAAGGUGCUGCAUGGUUGUCGUCAGCUCGUGCCGUGAGGUGUCGGCUUAAGUGCCAUAACGAGCGCAACCCUUGUUGUCAGUUACUAACAGGUUCCGCUGAGGACUCUGACAAGACUGCCAUCGUAAGAUGUGAGGAAGGUGGGGAUGACGUCAAAUCAGCACGGCCCUUACGUCCGGGGCUACACACGUGUUACAAUGGGGGGGUACAGAGGGCCGCUACCACGCGAGUGGAUGCCAAUCCCAAAAACCUCUCUCAGUUCGGACUGGAGUCUGCAACCCGACUCCACGAAGCUGGAUUCGCUAGUAAUCGCGCAUCAGCCACGGCGCGGUGAAUACGUUCCCGGGCCUUGUACACACCGC